UACGGGAGGCAGCAGUGGGGAAUAUUGCACAAUGGGCGCAAGCCUGAUGCAGCCAUGCCGCGUGUAUGAAGAAGGCCUUCGGGUUGUAAAGUACUUUCAGUCGUGAGGAAGGUGUUAAGGUUAAUAACCUUAGCAAUUGACGUUAGCGACAGAAGAAGCACCGGCUAACUCCGUGCCAGCAGCCGCGGUAAUACGGAGGGUGCGAGCGUUAAUCGGAAUUACUGGGCGUAAAGGGCACGCAGGCGGUUAAUUAAGUUGGAUGUGAAAUCCCCGGGCUUAACCUGGGAAUGGCAUUCAAGACUGGUUAGCUAGAGUCUUGUAGAGGGGGUUAGAAUUCCAUGUGUAGCGGUGAAAUGCGUAGAGAUGUGGAGGAAUACCGGUGGCGAAGGCGGCCCCUGGGACAAAGGACUGACGCUCAUGUGCGAAAGCGUGGGGAGCGAAAC
rnacentral:rRNA from 1 species